rnacentral:tRNA from 1 species
AAGACGCUAGUAAAACCAAUUACACUGCCUUGUCAAGGCAGAAUUGUGGGUUAAACCCCCGCGCAUCUUA